rnacentral:rRNA from 1 species
UACAGAGGAGCCAAGCGUUGUCCGGAUUGACUGGGCGUAAAGCGCACGCAGGCGGAUGCGCGCGUGGGGUGUGAAAUCUGGCCGCUUAACGGCCAGGCGCCAUCCCAUACGGCGCGUCUGGAGUGAUGCAGAGGUCGAUGGAAUUGCCGGUGUAGUGGUGAAAUGCGUAGAGAUCGGCAGGAACACCCAGGGGGAAACCAGUCGACUGGGCAUCUACUGACGCUGAGGUGCGAGAGCGUGGGGAGCGAACGAGG